UGGGGAAUAUUGCACAAUGGGGGAAACCCUGAUGCAGCGACGCCGCGUGAGUGAAGAAGUAUUUCGGUAUGUAAAGCUCUAUCAGCAGGGAAGAAAAUGACGGUACCUGACUAAGAAGCCCCGGCUAACUACGUGCCAGCAGCCGCGGUAAUACGUAGGGGGCAAGCGUUAUCCGGAUUUACUGGGUGUAAAGGGAGCGUAGACGGCCAGACAAGUCAGAAGUGAAAACCCGCGGCUCAACUGCGGGAGUGCUUUUGAAACUGUUUGGCUGGAGUGCAGGAGAGGUAAGUGGAAUUCCUAGUGUAGCGGUGAAAUGCGUAGAUAUUAGGAGGAACACCAGUGGCGAAGGCGGCUUACUGGACUGUAACUGACGUUGAGGCUCGAAAGCGUGGGGAGCAAACAGG
rnacentral:rRNA from 1 species